rnacentral:rRNA from 1 species
CCUACGGGUGGCAGCAGUGGGGAAUAUUGGGCAAUGGAGGCAACUCUGACCCAGCAACGCCGCGUGAAUGAUGAAGGUCUUCGGAUUGUAAAGUUCUUUCGACAGGGAAGAAAAUGCCUAUAAGUAACUGUGUAUGUAUUGACGGUACCUGUAUAAGCAGCCCCGGCUAACUCCGUGCCAGCAGCCGCGGUAAUACGGAGGGGGCGAGCGUUGGUUGGAGGGAACGGGCGUAAAGAGCACGUAGGCGGUGUUGUAAGUCAUUAGGCAAAGACCAGAGCGCAACUUUAGUAAGGCUAGUGAUACUAUAAUACUAGAGUAUCAGAGAGGAUUGCAGAAUUCCUGGUGUAGCGGUGAAAUGCGUAGAUAUCAGGAGGAAUACCGUUAGCGAAGGCGGCAAUCUGGCUGGAAACUGACGCUGAGGUGCGAAAGCGUGGGUAGCAAACAGGAUUAGAUACCCUGGUAGUC